GUUACUUUUCAAAUUGAAAACCAUUUUGAGCUUCAAAAUCUUUUUAUUAUUUUAAAAGGGUUAAGUGAGGGUGAAAAAAGGGGUGUGACAGAAUUAUUAUUUGUGUUUAUUAUAUUUGUGAUUUCGGAUUUAGGUUGUGAUUCCGUUCACUCGUCUGUGUCCUUAUUAUGGUAUUCCGCUGUUACUUGUUAUUUCCUUCCUUAUUGUAAAUUUCAGUAUUGUUAGCCAUAUCGCGUAGUCUUUAUGUAGAUAUCAUGUUUUGUUGUUCCUAUACUUAUACUUGUCAGAUUAUUAAACCGAUAGGUAUCUUGACUGUUCCUCGUCGCUACUCCACCGAGGUUAGCCUUGAUACUUAAUGGGCACCGCUAUGGUGUGCUCAUACUACACUUAUGUAGAUUUUUUUAUACACAUCCAGGUAAUUGUUUGUUAGUAGCUAUACGGAUCGUUGCUGUGGAGACUCAAGGUAAAUCUGUUGCUGCAUUCGCAGGCUUCGGAGUCACCUUCCUAAUUUUGUAUUCACACUGUUUUACUUAUUUCCAAACAAUUGUAUUUAGAAGUUGUUGUAAACUAUGUAGAGCUUAUAACUUGUACUUUCGGUUUUGGAAAAUUGUAAAUUCUAUAAAGAUUUCUAUAUCGAGACUGUUAGUCUUUCUUAUUA